UUAUGGCCAUAUCAUGGUGAAAUACCAGUUCCCAUACGAUCAAUGAAGUUAAGUAACAUUGAUCCUGAUCAGUACCUAAAUGGGUGACAGCUUUGGAUGUGCAGGUGAUGUA